rnacentral:rRNA from 1 species
UACAGAGGGUGCAAGCGUUAUCCGGAAUGAUUGGGCGUAAAGCGUUUGUAGGUUGCUUGAGAAGUCUACUGUCAAAUCCCAGAGCUCAACUUUGGACAGGCAGUGGAGCACUCUUAGGCUAGAGUACGGUAGGGGUAGAGGGAAUUCCCGGUGGAGCGGUGAAAUGCACAGAGAUCGGGAAGAACACCAGUGGCGAAAGCGCUCUACUGGACAAUAUCUGACGCUGAGGCUCGAAGGCCAGGGUAGCGAAAGGG